rnacentral:lncRNA from 1 species
AGAAUCCCACUAACUUGCAAAUAAGCAUCGCAGGCAAGGUAAUUUGCAUGACAAUAGAAAAGUGCAAUUGCACCAGUUUUAAAGAAGGGAUUACUGGAACUUUCAUUUAAGACUUGAAAGGUUUGACAGAAUUGUCAAAACUCCCACUCAUCAGGCUUUGCAAGAUGAGUGGUACAGGUCUGACAUCAUUCCCCAGCUCUUCAAGGCCUUCCUCUGAGAUCUCACCCUCCCUGUGCCUUGGUCUCGGAAUGGGAGAUUAAAGGCUGUCUGUGCACGCCUUUCUCACCGUAAUUUACAGCAGGGAGUCUCACCCGGAGAUGCAAAUCCUUCUCUUCAGAGGACACCACAGCUAUUCAAGAUGCUGACUACAUGGUUUUUGAUUCUUGCAUGGUUUUUCAAGCAGCCAUCAAGUUGUUUCUGAGCUCUGUCUGCUGAGAUGAAGUCACAUAAACCAGGUAAACCAUGUGAAAUUUGAUCAGUGACGUGCUGACAGGUCAUUGUUGUAAUCUUUCAGCGUAAAUCAACCUGAGAGAGAAAGAGAGAGAGAGAGAGAAAGGAGUACUCAAGGUUGCAAUGGAGAAUCUGUUGGAAAUGCUUCCUAUUGUAGUAAAGAGGAGAAAAUGAGGAAAACAUAGGUUUUGAAAGGAAUAUAACAAGUUUCUGUCAACUUAAGAAGCUUUACGAGGUGGUGGUGGAAUACUUUAUAAGAUCCUGAGGAAGGGGUCCCAGUCAUAAAGUGUAUGUAAUUGAAUGCAAGCUACAGAAAAAAGAGACAGUUAAGCUGCCACAGAUGGGCAAAAGAGGGAUGCCCAACUUUUAGAGUG